AGAGCCUUCCUCCAUCCCCCUCGGUCACUCUUUCCGGUGGCAAAACUUCAUCGUCCCGAGGAAGUGAAAUCCUUCUCACUGAAGCUAGGCAUUGUGGCAGUGGGCAUCAAGUGGUUGAGACGGAAUCAUGGCAGCCAAUGAGGUCACAGGAAUUGGUCGUUGGUGGUGAGCCGCUACUGGAUUGCAUUGUCGAGUUGCAGAAGAUGUGGAAGACACAGCCACGCGUUCACACUGAGGACACAUGGUGAGGGUAGUAGGAGGAGAUAUAUUCAUGUAAAACUGUGGGGAAAGUUUCAGUGCUCUCAGCUCGUUCACCUCCUUCGUCAAUCGCCUGUUUUCCGCUGUCAGAUUUUCGCAGCAACGCCUCAGAUACUCGCAAUCUACCUCCGUUUGCUUCAACUUUGUCCUGCAUCAUUUUCAAAUUGAAUGUCAUUCAAUAAUCACUCAAGAACAUUACGUAAAUGAUGAACAAUUACACAGAAAAUGUGUAUAUGCUUCUCUGCCUCAACAAAACAUAAAAUUUUCGGUUAAUGUUAGUCAGAAUGAAUGCAGUUAAUGAUUGGGUGAUGCUACAUGUAUACUUUCCGUGUGAAUGAUGUUUUACACCCCCUUAUAUGGAGGGAGGCCCGCAUAUAAUCUAUUAUGCAUGAGCCCCCUCCAUGUGAGGGGUAUAACCCAUUAUGUACACAAAAAGUGUACAAGUAGACCAAUCCUUAAUAAUUCAGGCAAACAUCGUUGUAAUGGAUAAUUCUAGGUUGUGCAUAUGUUUCUAUGUUCGAGACCAAACAUGCAAUUUAGUAAUUUUUUUAAAAUUGUCCUAAAAAACAGCUCAAAUUACUUUGAUUUCUAAUGAAUGCAUUGACCAUUUCUUCAACAUCUAGCGCAAGAGAAGUCAUAGUACUGAGACCUGGUGACCUAUAAAACGACUAGGCAUUUCAAAAGUGAUCGACACUCGUGCAUGAAUUACACGAUUUAUCUGUUGGGCUUGAUGGAUUUCUUAUUCUGCAAGAUAUUUUAAGCUAGUUAUUGACUUACAGUUGUUAAUUUGUUGUUAGAACUUCAAUUUUAUUUAUUUAUUUUUGUUCUUUUUAAAGCAAUAUUUAGUAGAAUAUGACGAUUUACGAUCCGAUUUACAAGACCCUCCACCUAUUCGAUUCAACAUACGAUUUUGAUAACCUGUACCAUUCUGUACUCAAAGCCCACGUAUUUAUCAGCCAUAUGGCAAUUGACACAUCCGAUAUGCCUUUCGAUUAUUGUGGAUUUUCAUCAUAUAACUCCGAUGUGCAAAAAUUGGACAGUCGUGAAAGAAUUCAUCCAAAGAUGAGGCAACUCUGAUUCAUCCUUCAUAAACUACCAUAAUUCUAUGUUAUUCAUAAGCUUCACGGUAUUUGAAAGCCUCGGUUAAUAAUAACAUAGGAUUUCAAAUGCAAAACCACCAAAGCACAAAGUACAUAAUGCAAAACAUUUCGAUCUUAAUCAACCCCCAACAAAUUUUGUGUCCACAUAGAUCUUUUUCGCCACUCUCUCGUGUGUGCUCUUAUUGAUAAUACAUAAUUAUUGAAAGCCAUGAAUCCUUUUUCGCUACUCCAUUCGAGAAGGCCCUAACUAAUCUUGUACAAUUAUCGGGGAGCCAUGGCCUAACAUUCGUUGAAUGACAAUACUACCCUCGAUAAAGCCCCAAAAAUGACUAACCUUGCCCUUCUGUUCUGAAACCACACCUCCACUUGUCUUGGUCUCAAAUUUAGCUGAUUCGCCAAAGUCAAUUUUUGCUUCUGCAAACACACAAGCACACAGUAGCAUGAAAAGCAUUACCUAUUAAUAAAACACCCUUGACCCACCAAAAAAAUUUCGAAAAUGCCACUCACCGGAGUGAGAGUGUUCUGUUCGUUGAAAGUCUCUUCAAGCACCGCUCCUUGUUCUUUAGUCAGCCGGAGUUUCUUCCUCCCCGUGGCGUCGCCACCGUCCUCAUCCACCUCCAUAGAACUCGAGGCCCUCUCCGCCUCAUUCUCUUCUCUCUCACUCCUUUUCUCACUCAAACUUGAGACUGUACUGUUUGGAGAUGAAACCAUCACUUCUUCCUCAAGGUCUGUUACAGUUAUCGGUUUAUUCAUGUCAAUCCCCCGGAGAAACGAUCUCCCCUCAACAUGCCGAUCUAAAAUAAAAGAUUAAUUUUUCAAAAAAACGUUAGAUUUGAUUUACAUGCACAAGAUAUGAUUCUGUAAACCGACUCAUAAUCUGAAAGAAAUCCAGCAUAAGCAGAUUUACUAAAAAAGAAUAUAUAAAAAAUGGAAAAAAAAAAAUAAUAAUAAAGUAAUGAACCAUUCCAAUCAGUAUUUACCCGCAGAUAAUUGAAACGGAUCAGCGGUUGGAGACUUCUGAUUCUGCCGCUGCAUGAAAGGCAAAGGAGAUUGCAACAGGCUCAAUGGAAACGGUGGUUGUGGUGGUGGUGGAGGAGCCAGCGGCGGUGGCGGUGGAUUAACAUUCUCUGGGCAUCUCAAACUCAAACUCAAACUCAAACUCAACCGUAAAUCAUCACAUUUCUGAGACAUCUUUAACCCUCUUCUCUAUUUCUAUCCUCUACCAGGUUUCAUUGCUCCUAAUCAAAAGAGCCUUCCUCCAUCCCCCUCGGUCACUCUUUCCGGUGGCAAAACUUCAUCGUCCCGAGGAAGUGAAAUCCUUCUCACUGAAGCUAGGCAUUGUGGCAGUGGGCAUCAAGUGGUUGAGACGGAAUCAUGGCAGCCAAUGAGGUCACAGGAAUUGGUCGUUGGUGGUGAGCCGCUACUGGAUUGCAUUGUCGAGUUGCAGAAGAUGUGGAAGACACAGCCACGCGUUCACACUGAGGACACAUGGUGAGGGUAGUAGGAGGAGAUAUAUUCAUGUAAAACUG
rnacentral:lncRNA from 1 species